AUUAACGCGAAGAACCUUACCUACCCUUGACAUGCCAGGAACGCUGCAGAAAUGCAGCGGUGCCCGAAAGGGAACCUGGACACAGGUGCUGCAUGGCUGUCGUCAGCUCGUGUCGUGAGAUGUUGGGUUAAGUCCCGCAACGAGCGCAACCCUUGCCAUUAGUUGCUACAUUCAGUUGGGCACUCUAAUGGGACUGCCGGUGACAAACCGGAGGAAGGUGGGGAUGACGUCAAGUCCUCAUGGCCCUUAUGGGUAGGACUUCACACGUGCUACAUUGGCCGAUACAAAGGGUUGCAAACCCGUGAGGGGGAGCGAAUCCCAAAAAGUCGGUCCCGGUUCGGAUUGGAGGCUGAAACUCGCCUCCAUGAAGGCGGAGUUGCUAGUAAUCGCGGAUCAGCAAUGCCGCGGUGAAUACGUUCCCGGGCCUUGUACACACCGAAU
rnacentral:rRNA from 1 species